UACGUAGGGGGCUAGCGUUGUCCGGAAUCAUUGGGCGUAAAGAGCGUGUAGGCGGUCCGGUAAGUCCGUUGUGAAAGUCAAGGGCUCAACCCUUGAAUGCCGGCGGAUACUGUCGGGCUAGAGUCCGGAAGAGGCAAGUGGAAUCCCCGGUGUAGCGGUGAAAUGCGCAGAUAUCGGGAGGAACACCUAUGGCGAAGGCAGCUUGCUGGGACGGUACUGACACUGAGACGCGAAAGCGUGGGGAGCAAACAGG
rnacentral:rRNA from 1 species